GAAACGGUGCAUACAUCACGUUGAAUCCAUGUUACAAGCUUUACAGCAUGCAUACAUCCCUCGGAUGUAUCAUAAGAUAAUACCAUGGAUGUAUUAAUAUGGUGAAUU